AUGGCGGUGGAGGUCGACGACACUCGGAAGCACAGGGUGGCGGCUUUCCUGGACGACCCCUUCCAGGUGAUGCAGGCGAAGCGGGGCCGGUGCUCACCGUCCGCCACCGCGGACUCGGUCGCCGACCUCGGCAUCAACAUGGAGUUCGACCCCGUCGAGGCGGUCCAGUUCGUCUUCCCCGGCGCCGAUCCGCAGCUUCCGCGGGGCUAUCUCGAAGCGUCGGGAAAUGUCUUGGAUGCUGCCAUCAGAAGCUUCAGGGAUUAUUUGGCAUCGGAUUCAGCAACGACCAAUGCUGGUGCCUCCUCAUCUGGAGUGGCAUCUGAUGUGCCGGUGAUGAAUACUCCAGCCAACAGGAUUGAAUGGGUAGAGCUAAUUGUCAAGGAGAUGUCGUCCGCUUCAGAUCUGAAUCACGCCAGGAAUCGAGUCUUCAGGAUACUUGAAAUGUUCGACAAAUGUGCUGCAAACUACAGUACUCCUGAUGAGGCGCAUAAAAUGCGUGAGAUGAAGGGCACGACGGAUGGCGCCGGCGGGAAGGUGAGCAGCGGUGGAGAUAAGCAAGGAAAGGAGUAG
rnacentral:rRNA from 1 species